rnacentral:misc_RNA from 1 species
GUAACCGGAGGACGUCUCUUGUUCACUGAUCUCAAGGAAGACAACGCUGGCGUCUACAGAUGCGUCGCCAAGACAAAAGCGGGACCACUUCAAACACGAACAGUGCUCAACGUCGGAUCCGGAAAACGCAAGCGAAAACACUUGGGAAAUCGUCGGGGGCGUCGUUUGAGGCAUCGUAGACGCAACGCUCAAAAUGGGCCACUUUCUCGCAAAACCCGAACCACUACCAAGCUCUUUGGCUCGUGGUUCUAAGAUUUUAAAGAAAACUUUGAAAAAAAAAAUCAUACAAGGUUCCCCUCCCAACAGUAAAAUGUAACAGUAUCUCUAAACAAACUAGUGUGCCUGAGUGUGUUUUGUUUUAACCAUUUUUUAAUUUGUUUUUCAACUUUUUUUCUUUUCCACUGCCCCAGCGGUAACCGGUGUGUUACACAUAAUUCCCAAACGUAUAUAUAUAUAAUUUGGAAUUUUUCUUCUAUUUUCUUCACCCCCACCCAAUUCUUGUCGUCUUCGGCUCUUGCUCUGUGGUGCUCAAAAAUACAUUCAUCGUUUUUUUCUUGAUAUAUAAUUUUUGUGCCUUUUCGACUUUUACUUACAACUAUUAUCCAUAACUUUUUUUGAGUUUAUGUACCGAUGAUAAAAUUCAAUAAAUCUAGCAAGGUAUCACAAACGUUUGACGUGGAGUUGUUUUGUGA